rnacentral:rRNA from 1 species
GACGAACGCUGGCGGCGUGCUUAACACAUGCAAGUCGAACGGUAAGGCCCUUCGGGGUACACGAGUGGCGAACGGGUGAGCAACACGUGGGUGAUCUGCCCUGCACUUCGGGAUAAGCCUGGGAAACUGGGUCUAAUACCGGAUAGGACCCUGGGAUGCAUGUCCUGGGGUGGAAAGCUUUUGCGGUGUGGGAUGGGCCCGCGGCCUGUCAGCUUGUUGGUGGGGUGAUGGCCUACCAAGGCGACGACGGGUAGCCGGCCGGAGAGGGUGACCGGCCACACUGGGACUGAGAUACGGCCCAGACUCCUACGGGAGGCAGCAGUGGGGAAUAUUGCACAAUGGGCGCAAGCCUGAUGCAGCGACGCCGCGUGAGGGAUGACGGCCUUCGGGUUGUAAACCUCUUUCAGCACCGACGAAGCGCAAGUGACGGUAGGUGCAGAAGAAGGACCGGCCAACUACGUGCCAGCCGCCGCCGUAA